rnacentral:rRNA from 1 species
AGUGAACGCUGGCGGUAGGCCUAACACAUGCAAGUCGAACGGCAGCACAGUAAGAGCUUGCUCUUACGGGUGGCGAGUGGCGGACGGGUGAGGCAUACAUAGGAAUCUACUUUUUCGUGGGGGAUAACGUAGGGAAACUUACGCUAAUACCGCAUACGACCUACGGGUUAAAGCAGUGGAUCUUCGGACCUUGCGCGAUUGAAUGAGCCGAUGUCGGAUUAGCUAGUUGGCGGGGUAAAGGCCCACCAAGGCGACGAUGCGUAGCUGGUCUGAGAGGAUGAUCAGCCACACUGGAACUGAGACACGGUCCAGACUCCUACGGGAGGCAGCAGUGGGGAAUAUUGGACAAUGGGCGCAAGCCUGAUCGAGCAAUACCGCGUGGGUGAAGAAGGUCUUCGGGUUGUAAAGCCCUUUUGUUGGGAAAGAAAAGAAGCAGGUGUAUCCCUGGCUGUUUUGACGGUACCCAAAGAAUAAGCACCGGCUAACUUCGUG